rnacentral:tRNA from 1 species
AGUAAAGUAAGCUAAAAAAGCUCUGGGGCCCAUACCCCGAAAACGAUGGUGGAAAUCCAUCCUUUAUUA